UACGUAGGGAGCAAGCGUUGUUCGGAUUUACUGGGCGUAAAGGGCGCGUAGGCGGCAAUUCAAGUCAUCUGUGAAAUCUCCGGGCUUAACUCGGAACGGUCAGAUGAUACUGCUUUGCUAGAGUGCAGAAGGGGCAAUCGGAAUUCUCGGUAUAGCGGUGAAAUGCGUAGAUAUCGAGAGGAACACCAGAGGUGAAGACGGGUUGCUGGGCUGACACUGACGCUGAGGCGCGAAAGCCAGGGGAGCAAACGGG
rnacentral:rRNA from 1 species